UUAAUUGGUUGUUGGCGUGUU
rnacentral:piRNA from 1 species